UACGUAGGUGGCAAGCGUUGUCCGGAUUUAUUGGGUUAAAGGGUGCGUAGGUGGUCUAUUAAGUCAGUGCUGAAAUAUCCCGGCUUAACCGGGAGGUGGCAUUGAUACUGAUGGACUUGAGUGGAGUUGAGGUAGGCGGAAUUGACGGUGUAGCGGUGAAAUGCUUAGAUAUCGUCAAGAACACCGAUAGCGAAGGCAGCUUACUAAGCUCUAACUGACACUGAUGCACGAAAGUGUGGGGAGUCAAGACGAGG
rnacentral:rRNA from 1 species